AGGGGCUGGCUGGAUUGCUGUUGGUUUUUCCCCUCCUGGUGGCUUUGCUUGGUUUGGGUUUAGUUUGGGAACAAACUUGUUUUAUAUCAACACUUCCUUCUACAUCGGGCGCCGUCGCCUCAACUGCGCGUGGGGGGCGAGGCGCCCACCCCGCACAAGAACAGAGGAGCGGGGGAGAAGAGACGGCCUCGCUGCUCACUGGGCCCCUUUGUGUGACUAAAUUUGGCAAGAAUAUGGAUCUGAGCCAGUCUUUCCACGUGUGCUCCCAGCUCCCAGCUGAGAAGGCCAAGGGUUCUCUUCCGGAUGCAGCCUUUUUGAAAUUUAUUCUUGGCCAAAAGAGGAAGAUAGUUCAAGGAUUCUAUCUUGCUUUUGGGGGGCAAUGGAGAAACCCUGAAAACACUUAAGGAAAACCUGAGGCCUUCUAUAAGAAAAUAAACUCCCUGAAAGGGGAGGCAGGGCCAAGGAAUUUACUUAUUUUUAUAAAUCUCUUUCCUGGGUGGAUAUGGUAAUGGAUGUGUUUCUUGAAUUGUGGUAAAUGUACCUCAUAAAAUGGAUGGACUGGGGCUAUAUUCUCAGGCUUCCUGGGCUCUGUUGGCAUUGGGCAAGCACGUAAUGCCUGGUUUGAGGCUAGAAGCCAAAGCCACAACCUUCUUGCAGUACCAACUGAGCCAUAGGGAGAUUAAUGCAGAACAAGGUCGUUAGUCUCAUUGUUUAUCCAGUUACUAGCCGCAUAGAUUUUGUGUAAAUUUCAGCUACAGUGGUUGCAGCCUGCCUUUGAUGUGUGUAAUCUGUACAUUUUAGUGCUCCAGGAAAGUACCUGAUUGACAAGAUCUACAUCCAAUGCCCAGAAAACACAUCCUACACAGGCACAGUGAAGCGUGGAGUUGAAGAAUUUUCCAGAAAACCAGUUUGGCUAUUAAGGGAACCUGUCGACACAGAGCAGAGCAAGAUAAGGCCAGGUUUCAGAAAGAAUAGCUGUUUACCAUCAAAGCAACUGGGUUCCACACAGACAUGGUAUAUUAUACACAAAGACGAAGGAUAUGGGUCCACUCUCCGUCAAGGAAUGUUAUAAAUCCACGUGGUGUCCCUGGGUGUCAGGCUUGGCCAGAACAUCUGUGGCUGGAGAAGCCAAUGUGGCUCAGGAGCUCCCUGCUGGCUGCACAUCUGAACGGCUUCAGGAGUACAAGUUUCCCCAUCAAAGGUUUGGAAUAAAUUACACUAAAAAAUUGGCUCCAGAACGAGUUAUUUUGGACAGGACAAGGUGAAGCUCUCAUGAGGUGUGUUAAAUGCAUCCCUCUGUGCAGUGGGCAACUGCGGGAGAGCUGGAGGGGGUGGUCAAAGGCUGUGGGGAAAGUGGAGAAACUCUAACCCUGCACACACUUGGACAGAAAUGCCAAAUCUACUGACUGGACA
rnacentral:lncRNA from 1 species